CACGUGAGCAACCUACCCUUGACACUGGGAUAACAGUUGGAAACAGCUGCUAAUACCGGAUAUGAACCUCACAGGCAUCUGAGAGGUUGGAAAGCUCCGGCGGUCAAGGAUGGGCUCGCGGCCUAUCAGCUUGUUGGUGAGGUAACGGCUCACCAAGGCGACGACGGGUAGCCGGCCUGAGAGGGCGACCGGCCACACUGGGACUGAGAUACGGCCCAGACUCCUACGGGAGGCAGCAGUGGGGAAUAUUGCGCAAUGGGCGAAAGCUUGACGCAGCAACGCCGCGUGCGGGAUGACGGCCUUCGGGUUGUAAACCGCUUUCAGCAGGGACGAAACUGACGGUACCUGCAGAAGAAGCACCGGCUAACUACGUG
rnacentral:rRNA from 1 species